GACAAGGAUGGAGAUGGAAUUCUUAUUUUUGAAGAAUAUAAGAAUGCAGCCCUUGAAGAUUGGCUGUUGAUGGAAUCUUUUGGUCAAUGCUUGCCUGAUUUUAAGUAUCAUGUGAAGUUUCUUGAACAGAUGGAGGGAAAAGUCAAUGACAAAUGAUUGAAAGCCUGCUUUACUUGAAUAUUGUGUGUCUAAUUUGAAGAAAACUAGUUAGAUCAAUAAGAUUUUUUAUCAAUAAAAAAAUGCUUGAAUAAACUUUCACAGAAUGGUUUGAUUUGUGUGGAUAAACAUAA